ACUAAUGCUGGCAAGUUGCAGGACCUUUUCAAAACAGCAUAGCCACGUGUACUGUCAUAGCUUUAUGGCUUUCUGUCUAAACAGCUGUAUUUCCACACAGCUAAGCAUGUUUUCAAAAACAGCCCCAUUCAUUUCAAAGUAAAUCAAAACAAACAAAGUAUCAUUUCAAUACAAAACAGCAUUAUCGCAAAACAAAAGCAAACCUGUUCAAAUCUUCAAUAAAUCCCAAAAGAAGAAGAAGAAAGCGGUGCACAGUUGACGGCGGUUAGCGGUAGUUAUCGACGAAAAUGACGAAAGGCAGCAAUAAGGACAACAACAAGACAAAGCCAAAGCAGGCAGGUUUAAACUGAUUUGGUUUAAAUUUUAUUGUAAUAUAAUUAUUGUAAUUAUUUUUAUUUCUUUUUUUAAAUAUAUAUUUCCUUUUUGAUUUAUUUUUAAUAAAUUGGACAAAAAAUAGGGUACUACAUUUUUCUGUUUUUCUGUUAUGUUCAAGAACGUUCUCCGUUUUCAGCAAAAACAAAAAACGUUCUCCGUUUCGUUUCUUUUUCUGCAAUUGUUUGCCUUCUAUUUUGUUGAUUAAUUCUCGUUGCAGAUCCCAAUAUUAUUUUAACAAUAUAUUAUGUAUUCAUCAUUUAUAAUCAUUAACAUA